AUUGAACGCUGGCGGCAGGCCUAACACAUGCAAGUCGAGCGAGCGGCGGACGGGUGAGUAAUGUCUGGGAAACUGCCUGAUGGCGGGGGAUAACUACUGGAAACGGUAGCUAAUACCGCAUACCAUCAGAUGUGCCCAGAUGGGAUUAGCUAGUAGGUGGGGUAACGGCUCACCUAGGCGACGAUCCCUAGCUGGUCUGAGAGGAUGACCAGCCACACUGGGACUGAGACACGGUCCAGACUCCUACGGGAGGCAGCAGUGGGGAAUAUUGCACAAUGGGCGCAAGCCGUAUGCAGCCAUGCCGCGUGUAUGAAGAAGGCCUUCGGGUUGUAAAGCACUUUCAGCGGGGAGGCGUUACUCACAGAAGAAGCACCGGCUAACUCCGUGCCAGCAGCCGCGGUAAUUC
rnacentral:rRNA from 1 species